UACGGAGGGUGCAAGCGUUAUCCGGAUUCACUGGGUUUAAAGGGAGCGUAGGUGGCUUUGUAAGUCAGUGGUGAAAUAUUGCGGCUCAACCGCAAAACUGCCAUUGAUACUGCUUAGCUUGAAUCACGUCGAGGUGGAUGGAAUAAUACAUGUAGCGGUGAAAUGCUUAGAUAUGUAUUAGAACACCGAUUGCGAAGGCAGUUCACUAGGCGUGUAUUGACACUGAGGCUCGAAAGCGUGGGGAUCGAAACAGGAGUUAGUAAUGACCCAUGGUAGUC
rnacentral:rRNA from 1 species